rnacentral:rRNA from 1 species
UACGUAGGGGGGCAAGCGUUGUCCGGAAUUAUUGGGCGUAAAGAGCGCGUAGGCGGUCCGAUAAGUCGGCUGUGAAAGUCAGGGGCUCAACCCUUGAAAGCCGGCCGAUACUGUCGGACUAGAGUCCGGAAGAGGCAAGUGGAAUUCCCGGUGUAGCGGUGAAAUGCGCAGAUAUCGGGAGGAACACCAAUGGCGAAGGCAGCUUGCUGGGACGGUACUGACGCUGAGGCGCGAAAGCGUGGGGAGCGAACAGG